CGGCGUGACGUCAUCGCGCGGCGCGGGCGGGCGGCAGCAAUGGCGGCGGUGGGAGCGGCGGGGGCAGCGGGAGCGGCCGCGGUUCCACCGCGGGGCAUCGGCGCCUGGCUGCGGAGCGCCUUCCGCUUCGCCACCGACCGCAACGACUUCCGCAGGAACCUGCUGGUGAACCUGGGGCUGUUCGCCGCGGGGGUCUGGGUCGCCCGGAACCUGACGGACAUCGACCUGAUGGCCCCGCAGCCCGUCCCGUAGCAGCGGAAGGAGCUGGAGCUGCUGGGAGCAGAGCUCACCCUCCCACCAGGACUGGAGCCGUGGGGCUGCUCUGAUCCCCCUGGAGCUGCUCUGAUCCCACCUGGAGCUGCUCUGAUCCCACCCAGAACUGCUCUGAUCCCACCCAGAACUGCUCUGAUCCCACCCAGACUGCUCUGAUCCCACCCGGAGCUGCUCUGAUCCCCCUGGAGCUGCUCUGAUCCCAUCUGGAGCUGCUCUGAUCCCCCUGGAGCUGCUCUGAUCCCACCUGGAGCUGCUCUGAUCCCCCUGGAGCUGCUCUGAUCCCACCUGGAGCUGUUCUGAUCCCACCUGGAGCUGCUCUGAUCCCACCUGGAGCUGCUCUGAUCCCCCUGGAGCUGCUCUGAUCCCACCUGGAGCUGCUCUGAUCCCCCUGGAGCUGCUCUGAUCCCACCUGGAGCUGCUCUGAUCCCACCUGUCCUGCCUGGAGCAGGACAAAAGGUUCAAUACUGACGGAGGAUUUGGUUUCCCGUUGAUUCAUCCCUUCAGGAAUUGUUUCCUCGAGGAUGUGCACGGAAUUUCCUGCUGUACCCCCCACCCCCAGAUGUUUAUUAAAAUUUAUGGAAUAACAACCCA